ACUAUCUGCGCAGCACAGCACGACAGGUCCCGUGUCGGCGUAUAGCGUACACACGCGCGCAAUUAUAUCUACAGGAUGUACGCAGAGGCGAUUGCUCUAGUGCGCGUCGCGCGAGACGAGUCCACACCGUCGCAUUCAGAGUGACGGUAAACGAAUUUCAGUUGCCCUGUUUUCGAGCUGUUUUACGUAGCGCGCGAGCCUUCUCGUGUAACAACCACGAUUUGCGAAAGAAAUCACAUUUUGCGGCCGUCACCGGUACAUUCAAGCCCAUUUCUUUCAACAGAAGAACGCUCCAAAGUUUGCGUUCACCUGCAUCAUAGUCACCGCAUUCACGCCAUUCAACUCUGACAAGCUGAGCAUGCGAAGAGCCUCGCUACGUUAUACAUGCCAUACUCUGCUUUUCGAAAUUGCACUACAAGCCUAGCCCCGCCGAAAACUUGAUCGGAUUUGCAGUCGACACGGCCAAGUUUUUAAAGAAAGGCAAAUCCAGCAUACCCAGCUUGGCUGGUAUCAAGUUUAUCGAGCGGGUGUGCAUUAGCAAAAUUUGAUCGCCGAAAUGGUUCUGUAUUGUUUUGCCAAGCAUGAUCGUUGGAAUCGACACUUUCAUGCCAUCGGCUGUCAGCAUCGCGUUAGAUUUGGUGAAGGAACUGUACACCGUAGCGAUCAAAGACGACUAUCGCGCUACCCAGGUGCAUCAAACGAAACUGGCCACCAUCGUGAACAAUUUGGCCACACCAACAAUUUGGACGAAGGUUUGAGAGCUGCGAUGAAAGCUGUGACACGACGACUUUUACCGUCUUAUAUACAUCAACUUGGGACCGACCAGAAGACCACUAAAAAACUUCGAUACCUUGCUUAAUCAAUCGAAACUUGCUAGAUUUAUCACAUCGGAGCAAUUGGAGAUGUAGCUCUCUGUCGAUUUUCAUUUGAGAAAACAAUUUGAAUGAUGUCCUUUUUUUGUUUGUCACCCCGUUUGCAGGAAGGAGGGACGGGCUGUACUCGACCAGAAUUUUUCUUGCAUAUAUAUCUCUAGAACGGUUCAAUCGAUGCGUUAAUGGGUCUGCACUUACUUGAAACGGUCCUGUCUUAUUAUUGACUGGACUGGAGCAUAAAUGUGCGAGUUAAUGCAAAAA